CAAGUUUUUUUGGUGAAAUGUUAAAAGAACCAGUAUCACCGUGGAUGAACAAGUUUUGUCACGUGACCACAAAUGCAAACGUCGAUUUGUGAUUUUGGCAUACACGGACCCGAUUUCAGAUGGCGAAGAGGAAGUCAAAACUUGCGUUGCAUCGCCCAAAACGCAAACAUAAAUCUUAUCAAGUUGGACAUUUUCACACCGGCGAAGAUUUUUCCCCCAAGCCAUCAUCACUGAAAAAGCGUAAAUUUUCACCAAGAAAAUCACCGUUCGCACAAACAUACCGUUCACCUUUAUAUAAAAGUAAACGCCUCGGACGAAAACUCAUGCCAAAGCCAACACCAAAUUCAAAUAGAACGAAACGUAAACUUUCACCACUGCAGCCAUCAUUGAGGUCUCCACUAUAUUGCCGAAAACCCUUCAGCCACGGUGAA